UACGUAGGGGGCAAGCGUUGUCCGGAAUCAUUGGGCGUAAAGCGCGUGUAGGCGGCCAGGUAAGUCCGUUCUGAAAGCCCGGGGCUCAACCCCGGGAGGCGGAUGGAUACUGCUUGGCUCGAGUCCGGAAGAGGCGAGUGGAAUUCCCGGUGUAGCGGUGAAAUGCGCAGAUAUCGGGAGGAACACCAAUGGCGAAGGCAGCUCGCUGGGACGGUACUGACGCUGAGACGCGAAAGCGUGGG
rnacentral:rRNA from 1 species